GACGAACGCUGGCGGCGUGCUUAACACAUGCAAGUCGAACGAAGAGCGAUGGAAGCUUGCUUCUAUCAAUCUUAGUGGCGAACGGGUGAGUAACGCGUAAUCAACCUGCCCUUCAGAGGGGGACAACAGUUGGAAACGACUGCUAAUACCGCAUACGAUCUAACCUCGGCAUCGAGGAUAGAUGAAAGGUGGCCUCUACAUGUAAGCUAUCACUGAAGGAGGGGAGUGCGUCUGAUUAGCUAGUUGGAGGGGUAACGGCCCACCAAGGCGAUGAUCAGUAGCCGGUCUGAGAGGAUGAACGGCCACAUUGGGACUGAGACACGGCCCAGACUCCUACGGGAGGCAGCAGUGGGGAAUCUUCCGCAAUGGACGAAAGUCUGACGGAGCAACGCCGCGUGAGUGAUGACGGCCUUCGGGUUGUAAAGCUCUGUUAAUCGGGACGAAAGGCCUUCUUGCGAAUAGUUAGAAGGAUUGACGGUACCGGAAUAGAAAGCCACGGCUAACUACGUG
rnacentral:rRNA from 1 species